rnacentral:rRNA from 1 species
AUUGAACGCUGGCGGCAGGCUUAACACAUGCAAGUCGAGCGAGCGGCGGACGGGUGAGUAAUGUCUGGGACACUGCCUGAUGGAGGGGGAUAACUACUGGAAACGGUAGCUAAUACCGCAUACCAUCAGAUGUGCCCAGAUGGGAUUAGCUUGUUGGGGGGGUAAUGGCUCACCUAGGCGACGAUCCCUCGCUGGUCUGAGAGGAUGACCAGCCACACUGGAACGGAUACACGGUCCAGACGCCUACGGGAGGAAGCAGGGGGGAAUAUUGCACAAUGGGCGCAAGCCGGAUGCAGCCAUGCCGCGUGUGUGAAGAAGGCCUUCGGGUUGUAAAGUACUUUCAGCGAGGAGGCGUUACUCGCAGAAGAAGCACCGGCUAACUCCGUGCCAGCAGCCGCGGUAAUUC